rnacentral:rRNA from 1 species
AGAGUUUGAUCCUGGCUCAGGAUGAACGCUAGCUACAGGCUUAACACAUGCAAGUCGAGGGGCAGCAUGGUCUUAGCUUGCUAAGGCCGAUGGCGACCGGCGCACGGGUGAGUAACACGUAUCCAACCUGCCGUCUACUCUUGGCCAGCCUUCUGAAAGGAAGAUUAAUCCAGGAUGGCAUCAUGAGUUCACAUGUCCGCAUGAUUAAAGGUAUUUUCCGGUAGACGAUGGGGAUGCGUUCCAUUAGAUAGUAGGCGGGGUAACGGCCCACCUAGUCUUCGAUGGAUAGGGGUUCUGAGAGGAAGGUCCCCCACAUUGGAACUGAGACACGGUCCAAACUCCUACGGGAGGCAGCAGUGAGGAAUAUUGGUCAAUGGACGAGAGUCUGAACCAGCCAAGUAGCGUGAAGGAUGACUGCCCUAUGGGUUGUAAACUUCUUUUAUAAAGGAAUAAAGUCGGGUAUGCAUACCCGUUUGCAUGUACUUUAUGAAUAAGGAUCGGCUAACUCCGUGCCAGCAGCCGCGGUAAUACGGAGGAUCCGAGCGUUAUCCGGAUUUAUUGGGUUUAAAGGGAGCGUAGAUGGAUGUUUAAGUCAGUUGUGAAAGUUUGCGGCUCAACCGUAAAAUUGCAGUUGAUACUGGAUGUCUUGAGUGCAGUUGAGGCAGGCGGAAUUCGUGGUGUAGCGGUGAAAUGCUUAGAUAUCACGAAGAACUCCGAUUGCGAAGGCAGCUUACUAACCUGUAACUGACAUUGAUGCUCGAAAGUGUGGGUAUCAAACAGGAUUAGAUACCCUGGUAGUCCACACGGUAAACGAUGAAUACUCGCUGUUUGCGAUAUACGGCAAGCGGCCAAGCGAAAGCGUUAAGUAUUCCACCUGGGGAGUACGCCGGCAACGGUGAAACUCAAAGGAAUUGACGGGGGCCC